rnacentral:rRNA from 1 species
UACGGAGGGUGCAAGCGUUAUCCGGAUUCACUGGGUUUAAAGGGUGCGUAGGAGGGCAGGUAAGUCAGUGGUGAAAUCUCCGAGCUUAACUUGGAACUGCCGUUGAUACUAUCUGUCUUGAAUAUUGUGGAGGUGAGCGGAAUAUGUCAUGUAGCGGUGAAAUGCUUAGAUAUGACAUAGAACACCAAUUGCGAAGGCAGCUCGCUACACAUAUAUUGACUCUGAGGCACGAAAGCGUGGGGAUCAAAACAGG